GCACUGCUGAGGAGUCUCACAACAAGACAAAACAGCCGUCCAGUGC
rfam:Schistosoma rodhaini strain Burundi genome assembly, scaffold: SROB_scaffold0000149